rnacentral:tRNA from 1 species
GGGCCGAUGGUGAAACGGAAUCAUGCCUCGCUUGCACCGAGGAGUUCCUGGGUUCGAAUCCCGGUUGGUCCAC